CCUACGGGAGGCAGCAGUGGGGAAUAUUGGACAAUGGGCGAAAGCCUGAUCCAGCAAUGCCGCGUGAGUGAAGAAGGCCUUCGGGUUGUAAAGCUCUUUUACCCGGGAAGAUAAUGACUGUACCGGGAGAAUAAGCUCCGGCUAACUCCGUGCCAGCAGCCGCGGUAAUACGGAGGGAGCUAGCGUUGUUCGGAAUUACUGGGCGUAAAGCGUACGUAGGCGGCUUGGUAAGUCAGAGGUGAAAGCCCACGACUCAAUCGUGGAACUGCCUUUGAGACUGCUUCGCUUGAAGAUGGGAGAGGUUAGUGGAAUUCCGAGUGUAGAGGUGAAAUUCGUAGAUAUUCGGAAGAACACCAGUGGCGAAGGCGGCUAACUGGACCAUUCUUGACGCUGAGGUACGAAAGCGUGGGAGCAAACAGGAUUAGAUACCCUGGUAGUCCACGCCGUAAACGAUGAUAACUAGCUGUCGGGGCUCUUGGAGCUUCGGUGGCGCNGCUACGCAUAGUUAUCGUCCGUGGGUAGGUACGGCCGCGAACGGUUAAACGUUAAACGGUAAGUUAGUACGGCGUGAGUAACGUGUCCGACGGACGACGACGAGGGAGGUUAGG
rnacentral:rRNA from 1 species